GGCCCGGUAGCUCAGCUGGAUAGAGCAACAGAUUUCUAAUCUGUCGGUCGUGGGUUCGAAUCCCGCCCGGGUCA
rnacentral:tRNA from 1 species